GGCCUACCAAGGCGACGAUCAGUAGCCGACCUGAGAGGGUGAACGGCCACAUUGGAACUGAGACACGGUCCAAACUCCUACGGGAGGCAGCAGUGGGGAAUCUUGCACAAUGGGCGAAAGCCUGAUGCAGCAACGCCGCGUGAGCGAAGAAGGCCUUUGGGUCGUAAAGCUCUGUCGGUAGGGAAGAAGGAAGUGACGGUACCUACCGAGGAAGCCCCGGCUAACUAC
rnacentral:rRNA from 1 species